CAAUAGCGUAUAUUAAAGUUGUUGCAGUUAAAAGCUCGUAGUUGGAUUUGUGGCAGUCGCGUGCGGCCCGACACUUGUUGUUGGUGCUUGCUUGCGUCGCCAUCCUUGGGUGGAACCUGUGUGGCAUUAGGUUGUCGUGCAGGGGAUGCCCAUCGCUUUACUGUGAAAAAUUAGAGUGAUUCAAAAGCAGGCUUAUGCCGUUGAAUAUGUUAGCAUGGAAUAAUAAGAUAGGACCUUGGUACUAUUUUGUUGGUUUGCGCACCAAGGUAAUGAUUAAUAGGGACAGUUGGGGUGAUUUCGUAUUCCAUUGUCAGAGGUGAAAUU
rnacentral:rRNA from 1 species